CCAGGAGCAGCCCUUGGCAGCCCCGCUGGUUGGAUGGAGACCGACGGAAGCUUCCCCGUGUGACAGCCCCAGGCUGCCCCCUCCUCCAGCCAAGGUCCCCGUGCAGCAGCAGCCAGUCCUGCUCAGAGAGGGUGAACUUGCUCCCCACCGCUGGGGUUUGCUCUUCAGAAGUUCUGACACUGAAAGACAUUUUUCAACACAAGCCUGCAACUGAUGAGUGGAAAACUGGAAAGUAUGGAAACAAAAACCUAUGGAAUUUUUUUCCUUAAGGCGGCUGAGCAGUUUUCAUAUCCCCAAAUACCCAUGGUUUGCCAAAAUAGUAACUGAGCUUGGAAAACAGUAGCUGCGUUGCCAGCUUUAGCAGUAGAAACAAUCAUGGGCCUACACAUGCACACAAAUACAAGCACACACAUCCUAGGAGCAGCAUCAGGCUUGAAGAAAGAAAACCAAGGGGAGAUGGAGCUGAUGAAGUAUUUGAAACAGAAAACAGGAAUGUUUGGACCCUGAGCAUUAAAGAAUGCAGAGCUGAAUUCCUGUCCAGAAAGAAGUGGCAAAGAACAGCUGGGCUUCACCUGAAGGUGUUAAGACAGAGAAGCAAAUGCAUACAUGGAGGAAUGGCAGCAGUGAAGGCAGCUUCUCACUGGUAAUGAUCCUCAUAAAUUCUGUCCAAUUUUUCAGAGAAUUAUUUAAAAAUAUGUAACAGAUUAGAGGGAUUGAGUUUGGAAAUCAGGUACAUGGGUGAGUUCAGGUUUAGAGGUGGGAGAAGCUGAGAACUGAGGGAGAAGCUUGUCUGACCAUGUUGCCUUUUCCCAGGAUGGGCCGAGGAAGAUUUUUAGGUGACAGUUGGAACAUUUUAAUUCAUGGUACUAAAAGAAAAGCUCUGGUCACCAAGCAACUGAAGUCAGACAUGUAAAUUACACAGCUGAUUUCCAGAGGUGGGCAAAUACCCCACAGUGCCCAGCAAAGUCCCAGAGAGAUGAGUGGUGAAAGGAGAAAAGCAUAGACCCCCACAUGGUGGUCUCAGGAGUGUAAGGUAAGUUUAAUCACUUUAGCAGUGAUAUUUUAAAUCCUGUCUCCAGUGGACAAGCCUUGCUGUGAGGGUGGUGAGGUCUAUGUGCACAUGAUGCUUGGGUGAAAAAAUUGUAAAUGGCUGUCAGAAAUUGCCAUCUGCAUUUUUAGAAAAAAAAUCUGUACCCACACUUGGAAAUUAUAAGGAUUUGCCAAAGGUUACCAUUGGUUAGAAAGAGUUGUUGAAACUCUGUCUUUAAAGCUGGGCUUAUAGUCAGAGAUUUUCACAGGAUGGAGCUGGAUGUUUGUGCUAAUAUAAGUGGCAUGAAUCUGGAGGCUCAUCCAGCUGGCAUGGAUGAAGUCAUGGCCAGGUCAGUACAGCCCAGGGAUGGUCCUGGUAAGGCAAGAAGGGAAAGGAGAUGAAAUAAGAAAUGCUAAUCUGAGGAGUUUUGCUUACUCACCUUGUCAGAAAACAACACUGAGUAUAUGCAGCACAAAAUUUUAUCCAAAAGAAAAACUAAAAUAUACCUUUUUCCUAAACAAAAUGAACUCAUUAAAAUUAACUCAGUGGUUCUAAUUUUCAACCCAAGAAACAAAAUUCCUUAGAUUUUUU